rnacentral:rRNA from 1 species
UUAAGUUAUUAAGGGCGCACGGCGGAUGCCUUGGCACUAGAAGCCGAUGAAGGACGUUACUAACGACGAUAUGCUUUGGGGAGCUGUAAGUAAGCUUUGAUCCAGAGAUUUCCGAAUGGGGAAACCCAGCAUGAGUUAUGUCAUGUUAUCGAUAUGUGAAUACAUAGCAUAUCAGAAGGCACACCCGGAGAACUGAAACAUCUUAGUACCCGGAGGAAGAGAAAGAAAAUUCGAUUCCCUUAGUAGCGGCGAGCGAAACGGGAAGAGCCCAAACCAACAAGCUUGCUUGUUGGGGUUGUAGGACACUCUAUACGGAGUUACAAAGGACGACAUUAGACGAAUCAUCUGGAAAGAUGAAUCAAAGAAGGUAAUAAUCCUGUAGUCGAAAAUGUUGUCUCUCUUGAGUGGAUCCUGAGUACGACGGAGCACGUGAAAUUCCGUCGGAAUCUGGGAGGACCAUCUCCUAAGGCUAAAUACUCUCUAGUGACCGAUAGUGAACCAGUACCGUGAGGGAAAGGUGAAAAGCACCCCGGAAGGGGAGUGAAAUAGAACCUGAAACCGUGUGCUUACAAGUAGUCAGAGCCCGUUAAUGGGUGAUGGCGUGCCUUUUGUAGAAUGAACCGGCGAGUUACGAUUUGAUGCAAGGUUAAGCAGUAAAUGUGGAGCCGUAGCGAAAGCGAGUCUGAAUAGGGCGUUUAGUAUUUGGUCGUAGACCCGAAACCAGGUGAUCUACCCUUGGUCAGGUUGAAGUUCAGGUAACACUGAAUGGAGGACCGAACCGACUUACGUUGAAAAGUGAGCGGAUGAACUGAGGGUAGCGGAGAAAUUCCAAUCGAACCUGGAGAUAGCUGGUUCUCUCCGAAAUAGCUUUAGGGCUAGCCUCAAGUGAUGAUUAUUGGAGGUAGAGCACUGUUUGGACGAGGGGCCCCUCUCGGGUUACCGAAUUCAGACAAACUCCGAAUGCCAAUUAAUUUAACUUGGGAGUCAGAACAUGGGUGAUAAGGUCCGUGUUCGAAAGGGAAACAGCCCAGACCACCAGCUAAGGUCCCAAAAUAUAUGUUAAGUGGAAAAGGAUGUGGCGUUGCCCAGACAACUAGGAUGUUGGCUUAGAAGCAGCCAUCAUUUAAAGAGUGCGUAAUAGCUCACUAGUCGAGUGACACUGCGCCGAAAAUGUACCGGGGCUAAACAUAUUACCGAAGCUGUGGAUUGUCCUUUGGACAAUGGUAGGAGAGCGUUCUAAGGGCGUUGAAGCAUGAUCGUAAGGACAUGUGGAGCGCUUAGAAGUGAGAAUGCCGGUGUGAGUAGCGAAAGACGGGUGAGAAUCCCGUCCACCGAUUGACUAAGGUUUCCAGAGGAAGGCUCGUCCGCUCUGGGUUAGUCGGGUCCUAAGCUGAGGCCGACAGGCGUAGGCGAUGGAUAACAGGUUGAUAUUCCUGUACCACCUAUAAUCGUUUUAAUCGAUGGGGGGACGCAGUAGGAUAGGCGAAGCGUGCGAUUGGAUUGCACGUCUAAGCAGUAAGGCUGAGUAUUAGGCAAAUCCGGUACUCGUUAAGGCUGAGCUGUGAUGGGGAGAAGACAUUGUGUCUUCGAGUCGUUGAUUUCACACUGCCGAGAAAAGCCUCUAGAUAGAAAAUAGGUGCCCGUACCGCAAACCGACACAGGUAGUCAAGAUGAGAAUUCUAAGGUGAGCGAGCGAACUCUCGUUAAGGAACUCGGCAAAAUGACCCCGUAACUUCGGGAGAAGGGGUGCUCUUUAGGGUUAACGCCCAGAAGAGCCGCAGUGAAUAGGCCCAAGCGACUGUUUAUCAAAAACACAGGUCUCUGCUAAACCGUAAGGUGAUGUAUAGGGGCUGACGCCUGCCCGGUGCUGGAAGGUUAAGAGGAGUGGUUAGCUUCUGCGAAGCUACGAAUCGAAGCCCCAGUAAACGGCGGCCGUAACUAUAACGGUCCUAAGGUAGCGAAAUUCCUUGUCGGGUAAGUUCCGACCCGCACGAAAGGCGUAACGAUUUGGGCACUGUCUCAACGAGAGACUCGGUGAAAUCAUAGUACCUGUGAAGAUGCAGGUUACCCGCGACAGGACGGAAAGACCCCGUGGAGCUUUACUGUAGCCUGAUAUUGAAAUUCGGCACAGCUUGUACAGGAUAGGUAGGAGCCUUUGAAACGUGAGCGCUAGCUUACGUGGAGGCGCUGGUGGGAUACUACCCUAGCUGUGUUGGCUUUCUAACCCGCACCACUUAUCGUGGUGGGAGACAGUGUCAGGCGGGCAGUUUGACUGGGGCGGUCGCCUCCUAAAAGGUAACGGAGGCGCUCAAAGGUUCCCUCAGAAUGGUUGGAAAUCAUUCAUAGAGUGUAAAGGCAUAAGGGAGCUUGACUGCGAGACCUACAAGUCGAGCAGGGUCGAAAGACGGACUUAGUGAUCCGGUGGUUCCGCAUGGAAGGGCCAUCGCUCAACGGAUAAAAGCUACCCCGGGGAUAACAGGCUUAUCUCCCCCAAGAGUUCACAUCGACGGGGAGGUUUGGCACCUCGAUGUCGGCUCAUCGCAUCCUGGGGCUGUAGUCGGUCCCAAGGGUUGGGCUGUUCGCCCAUUAAAGCGGUACGCGAGCUGGGUUCAGAACGUCGUGAGACAGUUCGGUCCCUAUCCGUCGUGGGCGUAGGAAAUUUGAGAGGAGCUGUCCUUAGUACGAGAGGACCGGGAUGGACAUACCUCUGGUGUACCAGUUGUCGUGCCAACGGCAUAGCUGGGUAGCUAUGUGUGGACGGGAUAAGUGCUGAAAGCAUCUAAGCAUGAAGCCCCCCUCAAGAUGAGAUUUCCCAACUUCGGUUAUAAGAUCCCUCAAAGAUGAUGAGGUUAAUAGGUUCGAGGUGGAAGCAUGGUGACAUGUGGAGCUGACGAAUACUAAUCGAUCGAAGACUUAAUCAA